CCUACGGGAGGCUGCAGUGGGGAAUAUUGGGCAAUGGGCGCAAGCCUGACCCAGCAACGCCGCGUGAAGGAAGAAGGCUUUCGGGUUGUAAACUUCUUUUGUCAGGGACGAAGCAAGUGACGGUACCUGACGAAUAAGCCACGGCUAACUACGUGCCAGCAGCCGCGGUAAUACGACGGGGGCAAGCGUUAUCCGGAUUGACUGGGGAUAAAGGGCGUGUAGGCGGGACUGCAAGUCAGAUGUGAAAACCACGGGCUCAACCUGUGGCCUGCGUUUGAAACUGGAGUUCUUGGGUACUAGAGAGGCAGACGGAAUGCCUAGUGUAGCGGUGAAAUGCGUAGAUAUUAGGCGGAACAC
rnacentral:rRNA from 1 species